rnacentral:rRNA from 1 species
CAAUAGCGUAUAUUUAAGUUGUUGCAGUUAAAAAGCUCGUAGUUGGAUUUCGGUUAAGAGCGACCGGUCCGCCGUUUGGUGUGCACUGGUUGGUUUUAACUUCCUGUAGAGGACGUGCUCUGGGUUUAACGACCUGGACUCGGAGUCUACGUGGUUACUUUGAAAAAAUUAGAGUGUUCAAAGCGGGCUUACGCUUGAAUAUUUCAGCAUGGAAUAACACUAUAGGACUCCUGUCCUAUUUCGUUGGUCUCGGGACGGGAGUAAUGAUUAAGAGGAACAGUUGGAGGCAUUCGUAUUUCAUUGUCAGAGGUGAAAUUCUUGGAUUUAUGAAAGGCGAACUUCUGCGAAANCANNNGCCAAGGAUGUUUUCAUNAA